rnacentral:rRNA from 1 species
UCUACGGGUGGCAGCAGUGAGGAAUAUUGGUCAAUGGGCGAGAGCCUGAACCAGCCAAGUCGCGUGAAGGAUGACGGCCCUACGGGUUGUAAACUUCUUUUGUCAGGGAGCAAUUGGGUCCACGCGUGGGCUUAGCGAGAGUACCUGAAGAAAAAGCAUCGGCUAACUCCGUGCCAGCAGCCGCGGUAAUACGGAGGAUGCAAGCGUUAUCCGGAUUUACUGGGUGUAAAGGGAGCGUAGACGGCGAUGCAAGUCUGACGUGAACGGCGGGGGCCCAACCCCCGGACUGCUUUGGAAACUGUAUGGCUGGAGUGCAGGAGAGGUAAGUGGAAUUCCUAGUGUAGCGGUGAAAUGCGUAGAUAUUAGGAGGAACACCAGUGGCGAAGGCGACUUACUGGACUGUAACUGACGUUGAGGCUCGAAAGCGUGGGGAGCAAACAGGAUUAGAUACCCCGGUAGUC